rnacentral:rRNA from 1 species
GAUGAACGCUAGCGGCAGGCUUAAUACAUGCAAGUCGUGGGGCAGCGCAGGUAGCAAUACUGGGCGGCGACCGGCAAACGGGUGCGGAACACGUACACAACCUUCCGAGAAGUGGGGAAUAGCCCAGAGAAAUUUGGAUUAAUACCCCGUAACAUAACGAUGUGGCAUCACAUUGUUAUUAUAGCUUCGGCGCUUCUUGAUGGGUGUGCGGCUGAUUAGAUAGUUGGCGGGGUAACGGCCCACCAAGUCUACGAUCAGUAGCUGAUGUGAGAGCAUGAUCAGCCACACGGGCACUGAGACACGGGCCCGACUCCUACGGGAGGCAGCAGUAAGGAAUAUUGGUCAAUGGACGCAAGUCUGAACCAGCCAUGCCGCGUGAAGGAUUAAAGGUCCUCUGGAUUGUAAACUUCUUUAUCUGGGACGAAAAAAGGCCAUUCUUCGUCACUUGACGGUACCAGAUGAAUAAGCACCGGCUAACUCCGUGCCAGCAGCCGACGG